AAGUCGUAACAAGGUUUCCGUAGGUGAACCUGCGGAAGGAUCAUUACCGAUUUUUAGCGGACCUGUUCUUUGAUCAUGGUCUCGCGAAAACUUAUUUAAAACCCCACUCUUAUAAAUUGAAUCAUUUUAUAUGUAUAUAAUAAAUAAAGAUCACUUUCAACAACGGAUCUCUUGGCUCUC
rnacentral:misc_RNA from 1 species